rnacentral:misc_RNA from 1 species
AUAUAUAUAUCAACCUUCUCUUUGUUGAGUGGUUUGGAUGUGGGGGUUUGCUGUGGCCUCUUAGGAGGGUUCAGCUCCCCUGAAAUGCAUUAGCAGAACAAACCUUGUUCAUUGGUGUGAUAACUAUCUACGCUAUUGAAUGUGAGGGGCAGUUCAGCUUUCUAACGGUCCUUUGGGACAGAUUCAUCAUUA